AACGAACGCUGGCGGCAUGCCUAACACAUGCCAGUCGAACGGAACCGUCGGGUCUAGUGGCGCAGGUCUGCGUACCACCUGGGAACCUGCCCGUAAGUUCGGAAUAACUCCCCGAAAGGGGACCUCAUACCGCUGGAUCUCAUCGGACCAAAGAUUUAUCGCCUUGGGGUGGGGCCGGGUUGGCUUAGCGAGUUGGUAGGGGAUACGCAUACCAUGGGCAUGUUGCAGAGCUGGUCUGUGAGCAGGACAAGCAACGCUGGGACUGAGACACGGCCCAGACUCCGACGGAGGGGAGCAGUAGGGUAUAUUGGACGAGGGGCGAAAGUCUGAUACAGCAAUGCCGGGUGAGUGAUGAAGGCCUUAGGGUUGUAAAGCUCUUUGACCCGGGAUGAUAAUGACAGUACCGGGAGAAUAAGCACCGGCUAACUACGUG
rnacentral:rRNA from 1 species